rnacentral:rRNA from 1 species
UAGUCCACGCCGUAAACGAUGGAUACUAGGUGUCCGGGAAGUUAACCUCCUGGGUACUACAGCUAACGCGUUAAGUAUCCCGCCUGGGGAGUACGGUCGCAAGGCUAAAACUCAAAGGAAUUGACGGGGGCCCGCACAAGCGGUGGAGUAUGUGGUUUAAUUCGAAGCAACGCGCAGAACCUUACCUACCCUUAACAUUUCACGCUCGCCUCAGAGAUGAGGUUUUCUCUUCGGAGACGUGAGGAUAGGUGCUGCAUGGCUGUCGUCAGCUCGUGUCGUAAGAUGUCUGGUUAAGUCCAAUAACGAGCGCAACCCCUAUUGUUAGUUGCCAGCGAGUAAUGUCGGGACUCUAACGAGACUGCCCGCGUAAGCGGAGAGGAAGGUGGGGACGACGUCAAAUCAUCAUGGCCUUUAUGCCUAGGGCUACACACGUGCUACAAUGGCCGUGACAAAGAGUUGCUACUUUGUGGAAACAAGCUAAUCUCAUAAACGCGGCCUCAUUCGGAUUGCAGGCUGAAA